rnacentral:tRNA from 1 species
CGGGGCGUAGCGCAGCCCGGUUAGCGCACCUGGUUUGGGACCAGGGGGUCGCAGGUUCGAAUCCUGCCGCCCGGA